CGAUACCGCUCCCUUGUGAUCCACGCGGCAACAGCUGCUCCGCGCCCACCGCUGUCCGUGCCCUCUGACCCGGAAGAAGACAGAAGAACUGAAGAAGAGGAAAAGAAGCUGAAAGAAGAAAGGAAA